GACUGUUCCUAUAGCCUAGUGGUUAGUGUCUGACUCUGAUGCGGAAGGUCAUGGGUUCGAACCCUGGUAUAGUCA